CGCGGGAUUGCCGGGGGGACGGGGCGAAGCAGGCGCGAAACCUCCGCAAUACACGCAAGUGUGACGGGGUUACCCAAAGUGUUCAAUAUUGAACUGUGGUAGGUGAGUAAUGUUCCCUACUAGAAAGGAGAGGGCAAGGCUGGUGCCAGCCGCCGCGGUAAAACCAGCUCUUCAAGUGGUCGGGAUAAUUAUUGGGCUUAAAGUGUCCGUAGCUGGUUUAGUAAGUUCCUGGUAAAAUCGGGUAGCUUAACUAUCUGUAUGCUAGGAAUACUGCUAUACUAGAGGGCGGGAGAGGUCUGAGGUACUACAAGGGUAGGGGUGAAAUCUUAUAAUCCUUGUAGGACCACCAGUGGCGAAGGCGUCAGACUGGAACGCGCCUGACAGUGAGGGACGAAAGCCAGGGGAGCGAACCGGAUUAGAUACCCGGGUAGUCCUGGCCGUAAACGAUGCAUACUAGGUGAUGGCACGGUCAUGAGCCGUGUCAGUGCCGUAGGGAAACCGUUAAGUGUGCCGCCUGGGAAGUACGGUCGCAAGGCUAAAACUUAAAGGAAUUGGCGGGGGAGCACCACAAGGGGUGAAGCCUGCGGUUCAAUUGGACUCAACGCCGGGAAACUUACCAGGGGAGACAGCAGUAUGACGGUCAGGUUGACGACCUUACCUGACGAGCUGAGAGGAGGUGCAUGGCCGUCGCCAGUUCGUGCUGUGAGGUAUCCUGUUAAGUCAGGCAACGAACGAGAUCCGCACCUUUAUUUGCCAGCAAGAAGUCACGACUUCGUUGGGAACACUAAAGGGACCGCCGUCGAUAAGACGGAGGAAGGAGCGGGCAAAGGCAGGUCAGUAUGCCCCGAAACCCCUGGGCUACACGCGGGCUGCAAUGGUAUGAACAAUGGGCAGUAACUCCGAAAGGAGAAACCAAUCCCGAAAUCAUAUCUCAGUUGGAAUUGUCGGCUGUAACCCGCCGACAUGAACGUGGAAUCCCUAGUAAUCGUGUGUCAUCAUCGCACGGUGAAUACGUCCCUGCUCCUUGCACGAAUUCGCCGAAUCACUAGU
rnacentral:rRNA from 1 species